GCUCCGGUGGCCUAGGGUUAGAGCGUCUGCCUCGAAUGCGGAAGAUCGCAGGUUCGAACCCCGGCCAAGUCG